CGGGAGCUUCGUGUGGAUGAUCCACAGAGGCUAUACACACUGUGUAGCUACGUUGCAAUGAUCAGAUCCUCUCGAUAGUGAUCAGAUUGCAGCGAUCGACUACCCACACGAAGAUAAUGUGUUCUGAACACAUAACAGUAAAAUAUUUACUAUAGAGAAUUCAAAAUUCAAUUUUAAAUGCAUGCUAUUUAUAUCAUAU
rnacentral:lncRNA from 1 species